CCUGGUUUUUGUGUCUUAUCUGUUGCCUGUGUGUUGCUUGUCUUGUAUACAUAAUUUAUGUCUAGGCUCCUAGUUUUUGUGUUGUUUAUUUUUGUUUGUGUUUGUGUUUGUGCUUGCAUUUGCAUUCGACUCCAAUUCCUGACAGAGGCUAUGUCAUUUUUAAUGUUGUCCUGCCCCAACAAGACCUGGUCACAAACCGAUAUGAACCUCCUCUUCUCCAGAGACGCCCACAGAACUGAGAGACAUCUGGAGGUCCAGGUCCCAGUGCCAGGGGAAACUGUUCAUCAGAACCCCCUGACACCACAUCAACUGUUCUCAGUUUAAUCGAGAAAUAGCCCAUAACCCAGUGGGAACAUGCCCAAAGGAUUGCCUGUCCCAAAGCAUGCUAGGAAGGAAGGUUGAACCGCCUUGUGAAAUUCAAAAGAGCAUUUCGGAGCACUCGCUGGCCUUUUAGCAAAAGGAAUUCACAGUUUAGCAGAGACAAUUCACACACACUUUAAUAACGCGAUAAGCUUGCAGACAAUUUUCACAGUCCAUGGAUUAGCGUGCAAUUUACGCCUGUGCCUGUCUCCUGCUAAUCUCUCUGUUCUCUCAGUUCAAGUUAAUUUGCCAGAAUGGCGUGCAUUAAGUGAUGCUGUGCAGUGAAGUGAAAUGUUCAAACUGUGCAGAGCAAGGAUUGUUCAUUUUUUCUAAAACUCUACCUACUGUAUGAGUCAGCACAAGCCUGAAUCUGAUCCUUUCAAUAACAAGAACAUCCCUCCUUCUCUCGCAGUGUUAUGAACUCUUUAUCUUAGGGUUGUAUUUCAUCUCUCUGGAGAUUCCUCCUCCAUCUAUUACAUCUCCAAGAUGAAGAGAUUAUGAGCUUGGGUCUGGUACAGUCCUGAAUCUGAAAUGCCUUAUGUCUCCGUCAUGGACUACGUCAAAAACUAUGUCCGGUUUGGAAAAACCAUAAAUCUUUUUAAGAGGUGCAUAUUUCUACUGCUUUGAGAGAUGACCUGUUACGUAAUCAGAUGUGGAAUUUUCCCAACACACACCAGAAGAGUUCACAAGGCAUUUUGAUCAUCUAUUCCACAAGUCACAUGUUUAACAGGAAGUUGCAUCCAAAUUUCUGAAGAUCAUGGGAAGAAGAAAACCAUGCGACCGUCUCAUUACGGUAGCCUCUGGCCUUUUCCGACAGGAACAGGAGUCAUGAUGUAUGAGGCAGAAGAAGAGAUGUUAAUCAGGUUUGAACAGGAUCUCCUGCUUCUGUCACAAUCAAUGUUAUGGCUGAUUAUUGAGCGGUAAAUCCAGCAUGUGACUCCGAUCAGCACAGAGAGAAAGAGGAGUCUGUUCUAGACGUGGGUCUGUGCCCUGGUUUUGACGUCCGUCUCAUGCGUUUACAUGUUUCUUCUAGUCAAAGUACCAAAUUUUGAGUUACUGAUCAUCCACACAUACUUAAUUAACUUCCCCUGCUUUAACUGUUAAUGAAGCACAAAAUUAUUUUUAAAAAAAAAGUUAAUAAGAUGAUUAGUUUUACAUUUGUUGUUGUUAUUAUUAUUAUAUCAUUUAUUGUAAUUUGUUUUUUUUUUCCAGAGGUGUGUAUAUCGUAAAUAUGUCACACACCAGAAUAAAAAAAAGACUUCUGUGUAGGAAGCAGCUGUGUAUCCUUAAAACCCAUUCUCUCCUUGUUCCUUGAUUCCUCAAGCACAUUUUAGGAAUAUUUACAUUCUUAAAAACUCCAGGUCCUGGGCGAAGCAAGAGAAGCCACCAGCAGGUGGAGAUAAAGCAGUGAAACUGAUCAUCACUAUCACGGAGCAACAAGGCCCAUCUCUUAUUCACACUUCCCCCUAAUGCACACGCAUCUGCAUCAAGACCAAGAGCAUCCCCAAAUAUGAGGAGGGCCUUAGGGGCUGCAUUUUUUUCUUCUAAAAUGUAGUUUAAACCAGAUUUCAAUUGUACAGAUGCCUAACGUUUGAAAAUAAGCUUUAACCUGAAUGAUCAGGAUUUUGAAAUACAUAGAUGUGCUCAUUGUUGUCAACUUAUUAAAUUAUCGUCAGCCCAGUGACUAAUCUGGCGACUUUUUGAGCAGACAUUAGUGACUGUCUGGCACUCGAUACGGCUCUCCAGCAAACAUCCCAGCUGCUGGUUAUGAGAAGCGAGAGAGCAAGUUCACUCAACUCACCAUCAGUGUAUAAAGCCUGACUCAGUUACACUUACAAGCCAGUGUUCCCAUGCACUAAUCACUGAUCACCGUCGUUUCCAAAGACUAAUCACUGAUCGAGCUUGUUCCCAAUGACUAAUCACUGAUCAUCAUUCUUCCCAA